rnacentral:rRNA from 1 species
UACGUAGGGACCAAGCGUUGUUCGGAUUUACUGGGCGUAAAGGGCGCGUAGGCGGCAAUUCAAGUCAUCUGUGAAAUCUCCGGGCUUAACUCGGAAUGGUCAGGUGAUACUGCUUUGCUAGAGUGCAGAAGGGGCAAUCGGAAUUCUUGGUGUAGCGGUGAAAUGCGUAGAUAAUCAAGAGGAACACCUGAGGUGAAGACGGGUUGCUGGGCUGACACGUGACGCUGAGGCGCGAAAGCUAGGGGAGCAAACGGG